rnacentral:rRNA from 1 species
AGUGAACGCUGGCGGUAGGCCUAACACAUGCAAGUCGAACGGCAGCACAGUAAGAGCUUGCUCUUACGGGUGGCGAGUGGCGGACGGGUGAGGAAUACAUCGGAAUCUACUUUUUCGUGGGGGAUAACGUAGGGAAACUUACGCUAAUACCGCAUACGACCUACGGGUGAAAGCAGGGGAUCUUCGGACCUUGUGCGAUUGAAUGAGCCGAUGUCGGAUUAGCUAGUUGGCGGGGUAAAGGCCCACCAAGGCGACGAUCCGUAGCUGGUCUGAGAGGAUGAUCAGCCACACUGGAAGUGAGACACGGUCCAGACUCCUACGGGAGGCAGCAGUGGGGAAUAUUGGACAAUGGGCGCAAGCCUGAUCCAGCCAUACCGCGUGGGUGAAGAAGGCCUUCGGGUUGUAAAGCCCUUUUGUUGGGAAAGAAAAGCAGCAGGUUAAUACCCCGCUGUUCUGACGGUACCCAAAGAAUAAGCACCGGCUAACUUCGUG